GCUCUGGUGGCCUAGCGGUUAGAGUGUCCGCCUCGGACGCGGAAAGUCGCGCAUUCGAACUCCGGCUAAGUCA